ensembl:lncRNA
GACUAUAGAAAUAUCAACUGGUACUUUGCAAGAUGCAGACAUUUUGAUUGAGACUAGAGAUGUGAAGAAGUGUUCAGAUGGAGAAGAUUGGAGAAGCUGGCUGAAGAAAUGGGAGAGACAAUGCCUUCGUCUGCCAGUGGGCCUCUAAAACUUCAUGUGUUUACCAAAACUGGAUAGUGGAUCACUGCUAGCAGACCUCAUUCCAGAGAUCUCACAACGCACCACUAAACCCUUGGACCUUAUGCACUUUACAUCUUCUACAGGACAUCUGUCCAGUCCUCUCCUCCUAGCAGUGCCUAUGUGGCUCUCCUGGCACCCUCCCACUGAGCCUUCUCUACAGCUAUGGCAAGUGUAAUAUUCCUCAGUUCCUCCUUCAGAAAGCAUCUGUAAAAUGCUUUAUCUGUGGUAUGACUGUUUAGAAAGUCAGUGGUUUUCUAGAAAGAGGAAACUGGUGAAAUCAGAGUAAACUGACAGAGAUCUUAGUGUGUUGCUGUGAUGCGAGGUAAGAGAAGGAGCCCUUCCAGCUAAAUAAGGAAGAAUCUCAAUGGAAAUCCUGUUUCUGCAGAAAAGAGGCAGAGGAUUUUCCUGCAUCCCGCUGUCUGCUGGCGUCUAGCCACCUUCAACAGCAAAUGUACUGAGAGCAGCUGCUGGACUCUUCCAAGUUUCUCUUUUCAGUUUCUCAUGACACAACAGAUCUGCCACUGGCUACAACUCUAUACAUGCCUCGGGCUCAGCUUCCUGGAAACAAAACAGAACAAAAGAGUCAGAAUAGGUCCGUCAUCAACACAAAAACAGAAUUGCAAUAUAUUUUUAUGCCCGUGUGAAAAACCUGUGGCCACCUUCUCUUUGGCUGAGUACAACACUUAAGAUUCGUUGGUAGAAGGAAGAGAGAAAGGAUGUAUGAAGCAUGUUGGUUCUCAACGGCAUGGUCGGGAUGGUGGAAGACCAGGAGACUGCACGUGAUCUUUUGAGACACUAGGAAGUAAUUCCCACCAGAAGGUUCUGCAUGGGGAGAGACCACGGUUUGCAAAGAUCCGGGGCCCAAAGAGGCCACAGUACUUGGGAGUCCAACCUUCUGGCUUGCCUGGACUGAGCUGAGUGAAGAGGAAUUGUAUUGGACUGCAUAUAUGUUGGCCAUUCUGAAAGUAAUGCCUCCUAUUUAUUAGCAUUGAAACUACAACAGAUGAGCAAAACAACAGUGAGCACAGCAGCACUGUUUGAAGGAACAAAUUCUCAGCUACAAA